GACGUAGGGCGCGAGCGUUGUCCGGAUUUAUUGGGCGUAAAGAGCUCGUAGGCGCCUCGUUGCGUCGGCUGUGAAAACCCGCAGCUCAACUGUGGGCUUGCAGCUGAUACGGGCGGGCUGGAGUUCGGUAGGGGAGACUGGAAUUCCUGGUGUAGCGGUGAAAUGCGCAGAUAUCAGGAGGAACACCGGUGGCGAAGGCGGGUCUCUGGGCCGAUACUGACGCUGAGGAGCGAAAGCGUGGGGAGCGAACAGG
rnacentral:rRNA from 1 species